rnacentral:lncRNA from 1 species
GAUAAGUACAUUUAUAUUGAUUCAGUAUUAAAAUACAAUCUCUUAAGUUAAAAUUAUCUUUAUUUUAAAAACAGCUAUAAAUGUCAACUUGUUGGCGAAACUAGAACACUAGCAACGUUUGUCUUUUCUCCCCCCAAAUAUAUAUCCCGUAUAUGAUCUGAGGUUUUCAAUUUUUACUAAGCAAUCUACUGCGUUUCCAACCCAACUUCAUGUUAUGAUUUUUGACAUUUCCUGGAGGAAGAUGUUUAUAAAAUCAGUAGUCAUAUGCUGAAGCUGGGGUUUGAAUUUAGUCUUUGGUUUUUUAGGGGCUGCUACUUUAAAAAAAAAAAAAGCUAUCAAAUUUUAAGAAAAAGUAUUGAUUUCUUAUUGAUAUUUUUAUAAAAGUGUAAGUAGUUCCUAUACUGAAAAUCCAGAACCUAAAAAUUAAAUCUUUGCUUUAACUUGAUCUUUUGGAUUCUCUUCAUAUACUAAAAAGCAGUGAUUGUCUAGUAGAGCCCUGAGCCAAAAAGUCGUGGAAUUUUCUCUAUAGAUAUUUAACAUAGAGUAUAUAGAUGACUCUCAGUUAAUAAUGUGCAAAAUAUCUUGAAUAUCUCUUACCUUAACAGUUAUGUAUCAAUAAGCUUGAAAUGAACCAUUGUUUUCUAUUUUAGCCCUUUGUAACCUCAUAGAAACAAGCUUCAUGUAUUUUCUAUGUACUAUGUCCUUAGAAGGGAGUCCCCUUCCACUCAUGAAACUUGAUUCAUUUUAUCCAUUUCCCUAAGGACUGUGUAGACUUUAUUCAUAUAUUCUGUCAUUUUAAAAUGUAUUCUUAAUUAUAACUCUAUAAUUCCUUUGAUUCUUGUAAAUUAAGCUGUAUCUGCGAAAACUACAUAGGUCAAUUAAGCAUGGAUUCUCCUGGUUUUAUCCAAGGAGAAAAGUAAAUAAAAGGCCACAGAAAUGCUGUUUUUGAAACAAAGUAUGGCGUAGCAUUAACUGAAUGUUUAAGAACUCUAGUUAUAUUUGAUGUUUGAUUUUUGAGUGUUCAACUAUGGGAACGUGUUAUUUAUGACCAAUACCUGCCAAUAACACUGUCUCUCUUGAUUUGAAAGCCUGUGACCCAUGAAGAAGAGAACUAAAGUAGAUGAUUUUCUUCUUUGUGUCUCUGCUCAUCUCCUGACAGCUCUACUGAGUGAAAUUGGGGAUAAGUAUGGCUGUCAGAAACUGCCGAGGGUCUAAUGGGUAUAACAUUCCCACUUGGAAAACUAGUACUUCAAAUAGGUGCUGAAGGUCAGUGAGCUAAGGUAAUAAGCUAAUUAUUAUCCCUACUUGUGUCCCUGUCAGACUUUGAGCUGCUUCUGAAUAAAAAGCCUUUUACCUG